UACGUAGGGUGCGAGCGUUAAUCGGAAUUACUGGGCGUAAAGCGUGCGCAGGCGGUUUGUUAAGUCUGAUGUGAAAGCGCCGGGCUCAACCUGGGAACUGCAUUGGAAACUGGCAAGCUCGAGUAUGGCAGAGGGGGGUGGAAUUCCGCGUGUAGCAGUGAAAUGCGUAGAGAUGCGGAGGAACACCGAUGGCGAAGGCAGCCCCCUGGGCCAAUACUGACGCUCAGGCACGAAAGCGUGGGGAGCAAACAGG
rnacentral:rRNA from 1 species